rnacentral:rRNA from 1 species
AACGCUAGCUACAGGCUUAACACAUGCAAGUCGAGGGGCAUCAGGGUAGCAAUACCGCUGGCGACCGGCGCACGGGUGAGUAACACGUAUCCAACCUACCGUUAACUCGGGGAUAGCCUUUCGAAAGAAAGAUUAAUACCCGAUAGUAUAUUUUCUUCGCAUGUUGAAAAUAUUAAAGAAUUUCGGUUAUCGAUGGGGAUGCGUUCCAUUAGGCAGUUGGCGGGGUAACGGCCCACCAAACCUACGAUGGAUAGGGGUUCUGAGAGGAAGGUCCCCCACAUUGGAACUGAGACACGGUCCAAACUCCUACGGGAGGCAGCAGUGAGGAAUAUUGGUCAAUGGACGAAGGUCUGAACCAGCCAAGUAGCGUGAAGGAUGACUGCCCUAUGGGUUGUAAACUUCUUUUAUAUGGGAAUAAAGUUCUCCACGUGUGGAGUUUUGUAUGUACCAUUAUGAAUAAGCAUCGGCUAACUCCGUGCCAGCAGCCGCGGUAAUACGGAGGAUGCGAGCGUUAUCCGGAUUUAUUGGGUUUAAAGGGAGCGUAGGUGGACUGAUAAGUCAGUUGUGAAAGUUUGCGGCUCAACCGUAAAAUUGCAGUUGAUACUGUCAGUCUUGAGUACAGUAGAGGUGGGCGGAAUUCGUGGUGUAGCGGUGAAAUGCUUAGAUAUCACGAAGAACUCCGAUUG